CCGCGCCCGUUGAUUUCCGCGGCCACUGUGCGAGCCGGGGCUGCGCGCCGGGCGGAGUGCGCGAGGCCUGUGGAGGUGUCGGAGGUUAAGGAAGUGCUACCAGGACUCAUCACUCUGGAUGGAAGCCAGGAGGACAUAAGCAAGCCAAAGCUGUGCUACUUUGUGAAGAGUUGUGUAACUAAUUCCUGCUGGGCUUAGGUCAGUCCGCAGCAGCUCAAAGAAAGGCAGUAACUCCUCAGCAUACUGUAAGCCAUGCCCCAGGAACGUCAAAAAAGCCUUACGGAAGGUUGGAGAGCUCUGCAGAUCCAUCAAGGAGCACAGCAUGAGAAGGCUCGCUCACUUGGUGAUAAAUAGAUGUUUAGACUAGAUGGUCUUAGGGGCCUUUUCUAACCUUAAUGAUUCUAUGAUUCUAUGACUCUAACAGCCUCACCAGCUCACAGAGGUUCUGGGCCAGAUCAUACAGCUUAGCCUAGGAUCAGCUAACCUCUCUGUGAUGAGGUGAAGUGCCUGUGCAGCACUGAGGGUGCAGUGGGGCUCAUCUUGCCUAGCUGUAACUUCCCCCCAUCUACUCACCAACAUUGGUACCCAGGCUGUUGCUGCGUGCUUUGUUUUCUGACUGUCUCUCUGUACUCAUGGGAUCACCAGAGAUCUCUGCUAUGCUUUGGUCUCCCCAGCCUUUGCAAGGGAGUAUACCUUCCCCAGAGCUAUUCUUUCAGCCAUUUUCUGAUGGGCUGGUGUUCUCCUGCCUCUCCUCUUCCUCCAAAGGGUAAGGAUCUACUAUCCUCCUCCUGCUCCUUGGCAAUGAAACUCUUGUUGUGUAAUCUCCUGGCUUAUGAGGAAGCAUUUCAGCUAUUCCCUAUGUCCUUCUGCCCCCAAAUCUAUCUACUGUAGCAUCUGCAGUGUGAAUCAGUAAGAGGCUCAGUGAGAUAUAAAGUGGAGCACAAGGCAAAACGGAAAAAUGUCUGCUGCUUUGAGGCCCACAUGGCUGUUUCUGCUGGUGAUCUCACAAAUAAAGUUACUGUUACUGAUCACCUCUUUCUUCCAAGCAAGAUGAAAUGAAUCAACAGCAAAGAUCUGAAUCUUGGAAAGGGUUUUCCUAGCAGGCAGAAUGGGCUGUUCAUGGGAUUUCCAAAUAAGUGGAUUUAAUGAUACCAUGUUGAUAUUCCUCGUGAUUUUUAAUCAUGUGUUACAUAUUUUAGGUUUUGAUUGUUGUUGUUCUUGUUGAUUCCCCCCCCCUCCUUUUUUUUUCUGAGCCUCUUGUAGUUGCAAUAUAAUUACUGAGUUCUCCUUUUCUUCUCAUACUGAGCUUUUUUUUUUUUUUUCCUUAUGGGAGCUGUGAACAAAACCAUGAGAACAAGAACCCUGGGGACUCAAAAAAUACCUACGUGUAAAUAAAGGUUAACACCACAGAGAUAAUUUUCAAAGCAAUGCCUUGCUUUUCUUCAAGAAAAGACUUGCACUCGACAACCUCAAUGACAGAGAAAACGAGUCUCUCCAGACAUGACUGAAACUGUAUGCAGUAGCUCCUCAGUACAUGGGCUUUUCUCCAGCCUCCCAGGUGCAAAUAGAGCCCUGGUAACUGCAUGUCCACUACAUUGCUGUGCUUUUUCUGGUAUUUUCUUCUCUUGCAGUAAUCAAACCAGGAGCAUUAUCAAGAAACCUGAACCAAAAACCUGAAAAAUGUUUUUCAUUCUUUCUGGGGGGAAGACAGCAGAUCAAGGGUGCCCAGCUUCUUGAGCAAGGAGGAUGAGGCUGUUCUGAACUGUCUUCUUCAGGUUGCUACGCUUGACUUUUUAACAAGGCACCUUUCUCACCUUCUUUACUGAUCCAGAGCCAGCGAGCUGAGAGGAUGAAGAAACAGUACAGAAGACAGUUCUGCCAGAUCUUCUAAUCUUCUAUUAGAAGCCUCUCAUAAAGAGGUUCCACCACAGUCCCAGGUAAGUCCUCAGUUGUCUUUAGCAAAUUUCUUCUAAUCUAAGCUACACUUGCUACAAUUCAAGAU